AAGCCAUGCAUGUCUAAGCAUAAGCCAUCAAAUGGUGAAGCCGCGAAUAGCUCAUUACAACAGCCAUAGUUUAUUGGAUCUUCUCUCAUACUUGGAUACCUGUAAUAAUUUUAGAGCUAAUACACGCAAACAAGCUCCAAUCUCACGAGCGGAGUGCAUUUAUUAGAACAAAACCAAUCGGGCUUGCCCGUGCGUUUGGUGAAUCUGAAUAACUCAGUUGAUCGCACAGUCUAGCACUGGCGACGUAUCUUUCAAGUGUCUGCCUUAUCAACUGUCGAUGGUAGUUUAUAUGACUACCAUGGUUGUAACGGGUAACGGAGAAUAAGGGUUCGACUCCGGAGAGGGAGCCUGAGAAACGGCUACCACAUCC
rnacentral:rRNA from 1 species